UUUCUUUUUCCUUAAAAUACACACUGAAUCUCAAUUUUUUUGUAUAACAAUUCCACACAUUUCGAGGUUUCAUUAAUUCUACUGCUGUGCAUAGUCACAAUGCCCCUUCUUUGUGCUUUUAUUUUGCUGUGAUUAUGUGAUUUUGCUGUGAUUAUGAUAUUUGCUGGUCUAAUUACACACAAUCUGAGGCAAAACCCAGCCAUAAGUGGAAAAAUGCACUCUGAAGGAGAGGAGCAGCAGAAACCGAUACUUCAGCAGAGAGGGAAUAAAUCACUCCUGGACAGGAUGAAAGAAGACGAAGACAUGUUUAGGCACAGAAUUGAAAGUCUCCCUGGGAACCGUCCUAAUAUGAAAAAAGCAAACAGGGAUUCUGCUGACUUGAAGGAUGCAGAGACUCGGACACACCAGGACACUUUAGUGGAAUUUUUUUAUGGCAAAAAUUGAUCAUCUAUUACUGUAUUUGAUGAAAGAGACAGAAAAGAAACACUAAUCCAACAGAUGUGCUAAAAUGGGAAACACGUUAUAAAUUAAGAUAAAUUAGCUAGGAUUUCCGUAGCACUCAAAGCGUUUUGAGUCUUGGUGCAACUGCAUUACAAAUGAUUUAAUCUGGUCAGUAUUACUGCUCCAUCAAAACAUUCACACUAUAUUACAGAACACUGUUUAUAACUGUGCACUUUCAGCUGAGUCUCUUCAUCGUUCCAAGUAUUUUCCCCAUGUCUUUUUGCCAGUCUGCUGCUAUUGUUUUGCACUAUAUAAGCUACAAAGGUUGUAUCAGGUCUGUUCAUAACAACUUCCUCCAUUCUGAUCUGUUAUUUCAUCCGUUUUUUUUUUCCUUUCUUACCAUUCUUACAUUUCAGAUCUCCUACACUCCUGUACAUACUCACGCUCUCUGACAGAGUUGUCACCAACUUUAGGCAUAUUACUGUUGUUAAUAUUUAAUAACAAUUUUAUUAUGCACAGGUAUUUGUAGGUAAUUCAAAUUGAACUGAAAAUGACAGAUACUCCUAAAUUUUUGAAAUUUCUUACGGAGUAUAAUAAAGUGGUAUUAUAUAUGCUUUCACUGAAUGGGUGGGGGAGCAGGGGCAAGUUUGUUAUUUUCAUUUUCUGUUUUUUAAAUUUUUAGAAGGGUUUUGGUGUUUAAGCCUCUGCUUUCCUACAUUUCAUUUUAAACUUUAUAUACAGUAUGUCAUGUUCCCUUGGAUGUAAAAAGCUAAUGGUUAACUAAAUGUAAAAAAUGUUUGCUUAAGUCAUUGAGCAGCUGAGCAAGCUGUAUCAGUGUUUAUACUGUACUGUACCUUACCUUUACAAAUAAAAUUAUUUGAUUUUA